GAGUUAGAAAAACAGAAAAGAACAAGUGGGCCAUGCCCCAGCCUCAGCAAGCAACAAAACUCCCGCAGCUUUGGCUACGUGACUUUGGCUUUGGCUUUAGAGUCAAGAAUAGAGGGGACAGCUGGGACAAUUAUGCUGGUUAGCUGGAGCUAAGAAAUGAGCAAUGAUUAAGAAGAGACCAGCAUCACUGAGGUGAAAUCUGGGAAGCAUUUUCCGACAGCACAAAGAAGCUGUGUUCCAGAGAUAGACCCUCCUCCUGGCUGCCUGCAGAAGACAGUCUCCUUCCCACUCUGUGGAUCAAGAAGUAGAACUCCCAGGUCCUUCUCCAGCACCAUGCCUGUGUGCACAAUGCCAUGCUUCCUCCUAUGACGAUGAUGGACUGACUGAACCUCUGAAACUGUGCCUGUGCCCCAUGUGCAUGCAGUACCUAUACAGGCCAGGAGAGGGCGGGAGAUCCUCUGCAACUGGAGUCACAUGCGUGAGCUUCCAUGCCGGUGCCGGGAAUCGAAUCCUUUACUAGCAGCCCUGUGCUCUCUGAACGAGUGAGGCAUCUCCCUAGCCCCAGCUAUAAAUUUCUUUGUAAAACAAAAAUACAGACAGCGCCAUCUCUACAGCCCUGGCUUGGGUUGUUUCUAUCCGUGUGCCGUCUGGGAAGACAUUUGGAGACGGGGAUUUGGGGACUACACCUUCCUUGUUUAAUGACCGAGGACUGGGAUGGAUGACGGGGGUUCAAAAACCAAACAGUGGCACUGAAAUUACAUUUUCAGACGCACUUUUCUCGUAGCUUCCCAUCCCAAGUUUGCAACCAUUGCGAAGUCCUAACAACCCGUCUGGAAGAGGAAACCGUCCAAAGCAAGAAAAGAGCCUGCCCAAGGGAGGAAGGCUAAGCGGUUCAUCAGAAAGGUUCUCCAGUGUGUUUGUUCUCAGGCUACUUGUCUGUCUGUUGCAUUCUCUGUGUUGGUCCCGUGGGAUGAGCUCAGCCGGCCGGCCGCGGCAGCAACCCCUGGAAAACAGACAGCUGCAGUGGGUGGAGCCCUAGCAACAAGGGGUUAUCUGAAAGCUCCCAUCGGGCCAGGAGAAAGCAGAACAGGAGACAACGGGACAGCAGGGUAGAUAACCCAGACUGAAAAGGUGCAGAAGACCAUCCAUGUAAGAGAAACCACGGACCCAGAGAGCUGUCAAACUUCAAAGACCAAGAGUCCCGGCCCUGGUGCUUGCUGAGAGCCCAAAGGCAGGCAGGCUGGCUAGACAUGCUGUAGAGCUGGGUAGCCCUUUCUUACGUGCUUUCCUAGUUUCCUUUCUGUUGCUGUGAUAAAACAUCCUGACCAAGAGCAACGUUUGGAGAGAAACCGGGCUUAUUUGGCUUAUACUUCUGGGGUCUUAGUCCUGUCAACUGAGAGGAAGUAAACAAACCAACUCAAAGCCUCUUGCCCACCCCAGUUAAAAGCCGGGAGCAGAAUGUCUGCCUGCUUGCUUAGCUAGCAUUCUUCCUAGUUCAGGGGCUUAUUUAUUAACAAGACAAUACCGCACGGACAUGCCCACAGGUCAACCUCAUGUACCUUAUUGCUUCCCAGAUGAUUCUAGGUAACAAGCAGUUGAUACUUGAAAUUGACCGGCAUGGGGAAGCUGGCCUCCCAAUACCC
rnacentral:lncRNA from 1 species